rnacentral:rRNA from 1 species
UACGUAGGGGGCAAGCGUUAUCCGGAUUUACUGGGUGUAAAGGGAGCGUAGGCGGCUUAGUAAGUCAGAAGUGAAAGCCCGCAGCUCAACUGCGGGACUGCUUUUGAAACUGCCAGGCUAGAGUGUCGGAGAGGUAAGUGGAAUUCCUAGUGUAGCGGUGAAAUGCAUAGAUAUCACGCAGAACCCCGAUUGCGAAGGCAGCCUUCCGGCGCCCUACUGACGCUGAGGCACGAAAGUGCGGGGAUCGAACAGG